AUUGAACGCUGGCGGCAUGCCUUACACAUGCAAGUCGAACGGCAGCGGGGUAGUGCUUGCACUACUGCCGGCGAGUGGCGAACGGGUGAGUAAUAUAUCGGAACGUGCCGAGUAAUGGGGGAUAACCAAUCGAAAGAUUGGCUAAUACCGCAUACGUCCUGAGGGAGAAAGCGGGGGAUCGCAAGACCUCGCGUUAUUCGAGCGGCCGAUAACUGAUUAGCUAGUUGGUGGGGUAAAGGCCUACCAAGGCGACGAUCAGUAGCGGGUCUGAGAGGACGAUCCGCCACACUGGGACUGAGACACGGCCCAGACUCCUACGGGAGGCAGCAGUGGGGAAUUUUGGACAAUGGGGGCAACCCUGAUCCAGCCAUGCCGCGUGUAUGAAGAAGGCCUUCGGGUUGUAAAGUACUUUUGUUAGGGAAGAAAAGGGAAGUGCUAAUACCACUUUUUGCUGACGGUACCUAAAGAAUAAGCACCGGCUAACUACGUG
rnacentral:rRNA from 1 species